CUGCCCUUCAGAGGGGGAUAACGUCUGGAAACGGACGCUAAUACCGCAUGACAUAUUUCCAUCGCAUGGUGGAGAUAUCAAAGGAGCAAUCCGCUGAAGGAUGGACUCGCGUCCGAUUAGAUAGUUGGCGGGGUAACGGCCCACCAAGUCGACGAUCGGUAGCCGGACUGAGAGGUUGAACGGCCACAUUGGGACUGAGACACGGCCCAGACUCCUACGGGAGGCAGCAGUGGGGGAUAUUGCACAAUGGGCGAAAGCCUGAUGCAGCAACGCCGCGUGAGGGAAGACGGUUUUCGGAUUGUAAACCUCUGUUCUAAGUGACGAACAAAUGACGGUAGCUUAGGAGAAAGCCCCGGCUAACUACGUGCCAGCAGCCGCGGUAAUACGUAGGGGGCAAGCGUUGUCCGGAAUUACUGGGUGUAAAGGGAGCGCAGGCGGAGAAGCAAGUCAGUGGUGAAAACGAUGGGCUUAACUCAUCGACUGCCAUUGAAACUGUUUCCCUUGAGUGAAGUAGAGGCAGGCGGAAUUCCGAGUGUAGCGGUGAAAUGCGUAGAUAUUCGGAGGAACACCAGUGGCGAAGGCGGCCUGCUGGGCUUUAACUGACGCUGAGGCUCGAAAGUGUGGGGAGCAAACAGGAUUAGAUACCCUGGUAGUCCACACUGUAAACGAUGAUUGCUAGGUGUGGGGGGUCUGACCCCUUCCGUGCCGGAG
rnacentral:rRNA from 1 species